AUAGAGACUCAGAGCUGCAUAUCAAUAAGCGGAGGAAAAGAAACUAACAAGGAUUCCCUUAGUAACGGCGAGUGAAGCGGGAAGAGCUCAAAUUUGAAAUCUUCAAGGUUCUACCUUGACGAAUUGUAGUUUAUAAGAAGUGUUUUCUGUUAGUAGGAGUGGCAAAAGUUCUUUGGAAUAGGACAUCAUAGAGGGUGAGAAUCCCGUAUUUGGUCAUUCUUUCUAGCUUUGUGAUACACUUUCAACGAGUCGGAUUGUUUGGGAAUGCAGUCCAAAAUGGGUGGUAAAUUUCAUCUAAAGCUAAAUAUUGGCGAGAGACCGAUAGCGAACAAGUACCGUGAGGGAAAGAUGAAAAGAACUUUGAAAAGAGAGUUAAACAGUACGUGAAAUUGUCAAAAGGGAAGCGUUUGACACCAGUGUUGUUUUUCCGAAAAUCAAUUGACGAAUGUUUUAUUUUUGAGGAGUUAUGACUUCAUCGGCUUGCUUCUCUCUUUAUGAAACUUUCUUAAUGCACUUUUCGGUUAACAAGUCAACAUCAAUUUCUUUUGUUGUAAAAGAGUAUGAGGAAGGUGGCUUUCUUUUCGGAGAAAGUGUUUAUAGCCUUGUACCUCUGCAAUCGGAGAGAUUGAGGUCUGCAGCGUAGAUCCUUCGGGGUUAGAUACAUUUGUGCUAAGUUAUAGCUUUUCAUAGACAACUUGUUGACUAUGUUUAGUCUUGUAGCUUACUCGCUUAUGCUAUUUUACCUACGCUUAGGAUGUUGACGAGACUGUCGAUCUC
rnacentral:rRNA from 1 species